rnacentral:ncRNA from 1 species
UAAAUGUUUGAUUUUAGCUUGAAUUUUUACAUUAUUAUUAAAAUUGCAUGAAAGUUGAAGCGUGAUUUAGAAUAGUUCGAUUAAAUAUUAAACUGAAGUAAUAAGAGAAAAAAAUUAUAAUACUUUAUUGUCUCAGCAUAAAAUAUUAUAACUAAUAUAUUAAAAUAUGAUAUAGUAAUAAUAGCAAAAUCUGAUAUAUAUUUGUGCCAGCAUUCGCGGUUAUACUUUAAGGUUAAGUAAAAAGUUUAAGGUUUUAGUUAAAUAGUAAAUCUGAUUAAAUAAAUAUAAAUAAUAAAAGGUAAAAUUAGGAUAUUAUUUUGUAGAGAUGAAGAUUAUAAUUGAAGCUAAAAAAGUUUGGUAAUAAACUAGGAUUAGAUACCCUAUUAUUCUAAAACAAAUUCACCUAAACUAAAUUAAUAAGAGAUAAAUACUUAAAAUUUAAAAAAUUUGGCGGCAAUUUAAUCUUUUCAGAGGAACCUGUUUUAGAAUCGAUAAACCACGAAAAAUCUCACUUGUUUUAGUAUAAAGCAAUUUGUAUACAAUCAUUAUCAGAUAAUUCUUAAAGGAGAAAUUAUUAAAUUUAAUUGUUUAGUAAAAUUAGAUCAUGGUGCAGUCUAUAGGCAAGGUAAAAUGGGUUACAAUAAAUUAUUUUAUAGCGGAUUAGUAGUCGAAAAUUACUAUGAAGAAGGAUUUGAUUGUAUUUUUAUUUCAAUAAGUUACUAAGAUAUAAGUUCUAAAUUGUGUACAUAUCGCCCGUCGCUUUCAUUUAUAAGUGAAAUAAGUCGUAACACAGUAGAUGUACUGGAAAGUGCAUCUAGC